UGAAGUGGUAUCUGCUCCUUAGGAUGA
rnacentral:sRNA from 1 species